GACACUAGGACUUGGGUUAGCUCGAGGUCAGUCGCCCGAAGAAAACAAAAUCACCACCUACCUCCGCCGCUCCUCCGCCGCAUUCCGCCUCGAGCUCCGCUCCCAAAUGGCGAAUCCCGACUCCGACUCACCGGACUCCGCCUCCCAAGCCCCUAACGAUGCGUAUCGUCCCGAACGUCCGGUCGAAGAAGAAGAUGAAGAAGACGAGAUGGACGAAUCUGACGACGACGGCGGCGGCGACGAGGACGACGAGCUCGAGCGCCGCGCGCCGCCGCCGCCGCCCCGGUCGCAGGAGGACCGGUUGCGGGCGCACAGGGCGAGGCUCAACAACCUCUCGCAGAAGCUCUCGUCGGAGAGCGUCCCGAUCCGGGUGCACGACGUCCUGAUCAAGGGCAACGCGAAGACUAGGGAUUGGGUUAUCGAGGCCGAGCUGGAGGACCUGAAGAAGGCGGCGUCGCUGCAGGAGCUGCUGCAGGCCGCGAGCGUCGCGAAUUUCAGGCUCCAGCAGCUGGGGAUCUUCCAGUCCGUCAACAUCGUGCUCGAUUCGGGGCCCAAGGAGUUGCCCGGCACCGCGAACGUGGUCGUCAACGUCGUCGAGGCCGCGAACCCGCUGUCCGGCGAAAUUGGUUACUAUACUAAGCCGGAGGCUAGAUCUUCAACGCUUGAAGGAGUUUUGAAACUCAAAAACUUGCUUGGAUAUGGUGACCUUUGGGAUGGUUCUUUUGCAUAUGGAUGGAAUCAAACAUCCGAGCUAAGUGCUGGUGUCUAUAUCCCUAGAAUAAAAAGCUUGUUAGCUCCUUUGAGUGCACGAGUAUUCUUGGUAUCCCAGGACUGGUUGAAGUACUCUUCAUACAAUGAACAAUCAUUAGGGCUUUCCCUUGGCCUAGUUUCAACAAGGAAUCAUGACUUGGCUUACAACUUGACAUGGCGUACAUUGACAGAUCCUUCCCAGAUGUCGGCUGGAUCAAUAAGGAGGCAGCUGGGACAUGGUUUAAUCUCUUCCUUAAAAUACUCUUUCAGGUUUGACAGGAGAAACUCACCCAUCAGACCAACACGAGGAUAUGCUUUUCUUUCUACUAGUCAAAUUGGUGGCCUUACACCUGAUCCCCGAAGUGCACGUUUUAUCCGCCAGGAGCUCGAUCUUCGUUAUGCUUUGCCUCUGGGAUUUUAUCAUGCUGCUAUCAACGUUGGAAUCUCUAGUGGAGUUAUCUUUCCCUGGGGAUGUGGAUUUCUGCAAAAGCCUUCACCGUUGCCAGAAAGAUUCUUCAUGGGUGGCAAUACCUCUCCAUUUUACUCUUUAGGAGGUCCUACUUCACUUUUAGGGUUUCGGACUAGGGGUAUGGGCCCCACUGAACCAAGAAGGCAAACUGGCAAUGAUGAUCUUGAAAGGGAUUAUGUUGGUGGUGACCUUGCUCUUACCACUUUUGCUGACCUUUCUUUUGAUCUUCCAUUCAGUUGGUGCCAAAAGAGUGGAAUCUAUGGACAUGUGUUCGCAUGUGCUGGAAACCUAGCCAAGUUGACACAGAAUGAGUUUCGGAACUUUUCCUUUCAGAAUUUCCUAAAAUCCUGCAGAAGCUCUGUUGGAGCUGGAAUUGUUGUGCCCACGAGUAUCGUGCGAGUGGAGGUUAACUACUGCUAUGUGUUGAAGCAAUAUGAGUUUGAUCGAGGGAAGACUGGGCUACGAGUUAGCUUUUCUUCUACAUGAUUAAAUUUGCACUUCUUUCCUGAUGUAUGAGUGUCUACAUAGCAGAAAAGAAGUAAAACCCAUCAUUCAGGGGAGGAGCUUGAUCAUAUCCAUAACUUGAUGGCUCUUUUGGUUACCCGUGCUUCAUUGAUGCUUUUUCCCUGCAAAUGCUUGUGGUUGCUUGGUGAAGUGGCGAUAAGACUUCAAAGAACCAUCGUCUUGGUGUUUUCUUCAGAUUGGACGAUUCUGAGGAACGCCAAUAAUUGAUUGAUGUAAAAAUUGAAGUGUCUAAAGAAGGUACAUCCGAGGGAACUGUUGUUUAUUCUGUGAUGUGAAGCUUUGUUUAAACGUUUGAAAGUGUCCAAGUGAUGUAAGGAGAAAAAGGAUCAAGAAACAUGCAUGAUUGUGAAUGUGAUGAUGAUGAUGAUGAUGAUGUGGAGA